rnacentral:rRNA from 1 species
UACAGAGGAGCCAAGCGUUGUCCGGAUUGACUGGGCGUAAAGCGCACGCAGGCGGUCGCGCGCGUGGGGUGUGAAAUCUGGCCGCUUAACGGCCAGGCGCCAUCCCAUACGGCACGACUGGAGUGAUGCAGAGGUCGGUGGAAUUGCCGGUGUAGUGGUGAAAUGCGUAGAUAUUCGCAAGAACACCAGUGGCGAAGGCGGCUCACUGGCCCGGUACUGACGCUGAGGUGCGAAAGCGUGGGGAGCAAACAGG